rnacentral:lncRNA from 1 species
CCCCCCGCCCGGCCAGCCGCCCCGUCCAGGAGGUGAGGGGCACCUCUGCCCGGCCGCCCCUACUGGGAAGUGAGGAGCCCCUCUGCCCGGCCAGCUGCUCCGUCCGGGAGGGAGGUGGGGGGGUCAGCCCCCCGCCCGGCCAGCCACCCCGUCCGGGAGGGAGGUGGGGGGGUCAGCCCCCCGCCCGGCCAGCCACCCCGUCCGGGAGGGAGGUGGGGGGGUCAGCCCCCUGCCCGGCCAGCCGCCCCAUCCAGGAGGGAGGAGGGGGGAUCAGCCCCCCGCCCGGCCAGCCGCCCCAUCCGGGAGGGAGGUGGGGGGGUCAGCCCCCCACCCGGCCAGCCGCCCCGUCCGGGAGGUGAGGGGCGCCUCUGCCCGGCCGCCCCUACUGGGAAGUGAGGAGCCCCUCUGCCCGGCCAGCCGCCCCGUCCGGGAGGGAGGUGGGGGGUUCAGCCCCCCGCCCGGCCAGCCGCCCCGUCCGGGAGGUGAGGGGCGCCUCUGCCCGACCGCCCCUACUGGGAAGUGAGGAGCCCCUCUGCCUGACCAGCCGCCCCGUCCGGGAGGGAGGUGGGGGGGUCAGCCCCCCGCCCGGCCAGCCGCCCUGCCCGGGAGGUGAGGGGCGCCUCUGCCCGGUCGCCCCUACUGGGAAGUGAGGAGCCCCUCUGCCCGGCCACCACCCCGUCUGGGAGGUGUGCCCAGCAGCUCACUGAGAACGGGCCAUGAUGACAAUGGCGGUUUUGUGGAGUAGAAAGGGGGGAAAGGUGGGGAAAGGAUUGAGAAAUCGGAUGGUUGCCAUGUCUGUGCGGAGAGAGGUAGACAUGGGAGACUUUUCGUUUUGCUCUGUACUAAGAAAAAUUAUUAUCCUGUUGAUCGGUGACCUUGCCCCCAACCCUGUGCUCUCUGAAACAUGUGCUGUGUCCACUCAGGGUUA